GGGGAAUCUUGGACAAUGGGCGAAAGCCUGAUCCAGCCAUGCCGCGUGGAUGAUGAAGGCCCUAGGGUUGUAAAAUCCUUUCGUUGGGGACGAUAAUGACGGUACCCAAAGAAGAAGCUCCGGCUAACUUCGUGCCAGCAGCCGCGGUAAUACGAAGGGGGCUAGCGUUGUUCGGAUUUACUGGGCGUAAAGCGCGUGUAGGCGGGUCGUUAAGUUGGGGGUGAAAUCCCGAGGCUCAACCUCGGAACUGCCUUCAAAACUGGCGACCUGGACCCAAGUAGAGGCAAGUGGAAUUGCGAGUGUAGAGGUGAAAUUCGUAGAUAUUCGCAGGAACACCAGUGGCGAAGGCGACUUGCUGGACUUGUGGUGACGCUGAGACGCGAAAGCGUGGGGAGCAAAC
rnacentral:rRNA from 1 species